UACGGAGGGAGCUAGCGUUGUUCGGAAUUACUGGGGCGUAAAGCGCACGUAGGCGGCUUUGUAAGUUAGAGGUGAAAGCCCGGAGCUCAACUCCGGAACUGCCUUUAAGACUGCAUCGCUUGAAUCCAGGAGAGGUGAGUGGAACUGCGAGUGUAGAGGUGAAAUUCGUAGAUAUUCGGAAGAACACCAGUGGCGAAGGCGACAUACUGGUCCGUUACUGACGCUGAGGCUCGAAAAGCGUGGGGGAGCAAACAGG
rnacentral:rRNA from 1 species